UAGUAACGGCGAGUGAAGAGGAAAGAGCUCAAAGUUGGAACCUGUUUGGCUUAGCUAAACCGGAUUGUAAACUGUAGAAGUGUUUUCCAGACACGCCUGGUAAAAAAGUCCUUUGGAACAGGGCAUCAUAGAGGGUGAGAAUCCCGUCAUUGGCCAGAGCUGUUGUCUUUUGUGAUACAUUUUCAAAGAGUCAGGUUGUUUGGGAAUGCAGCCUAAAUUGGGUGGUAAAUCUCACCUAAAGCUAAAUAUUUGCGAGAGACCGAUAGCGAACAAGUACCGUGAGGGAAAGAUGAAAAGAACUUUGAAAAGAGAGUUAAACAGUAUGUGAAAUUGUUAAAAGGGAACCGUUUGGAGCCAGACUGGCUUGAUCGUAAUCACUCUAGGCUUUGGCCUGGAUGCACUUGCGGUCUAUGCCGGCCAACGACAGUUUUGUUUGAGGGAAAAAAUUACAUUGAAUGUGGCCCUUCGGGGUGUUAUAGCUUUGUAAAAAAUACCUUGGACGGGACUGAGGAACGCAGCGAAUGCCUUUAGGCGAGAUUGCUGGGUGCUUGCGCUGAUACAUGCUAGAAUUUCUGCUUCGGGUGGUGCUAGUGUGUAAAGGAGUAACCCGCUUAGUAUAUUUUUUAUUCGCUUAGGUUGUUGGCUUAAUGACUCUAAAUGACCCGUCUUGAAACACGGACCAAGGAGUCCACCAUUAGUGCAAGUAUUUGGGUGACAAACCCAUAUGCGCAAGGAAACUGAUUGAUACGAAGGCGCAAGCUGGCAGUAUCACCCGGCGUUGACGUUUUAUACUGAACUGACCGAGGUAAAGCACUAAUGAUGGGACCCGAAAGAUGGUGAACUAUGCCUGAAUAGGGUGAAGCCGGAGGAAACUCCGGUGGAGGCUCGUAGCGAUUCUGACGUGCAAAUCGAUCGUCAAAUUUGGGUAUAGGGGCGAAAGACUAAUCGA
rnacentral:rRNA from 1 species